GGAGAAGUGGCAGAGUGGCCGAAUGUACCUGACUCGAAAUCAGGCGUACCGAAAGGUACCGUGGGUUCGAAUCCCACCUUCUCCUCCA
rnacentral:tRNA from 2 species